rnacentral:rRNA from 1 species
AACGAACGCUGGCGGCAGGCUUAACACAUGCAAGUCGAACGGUUGUAGCAAUACAGCAGUGGCGCACGGGUGAGUAACGCGUGGAUAUCUGCCUUUUGGUUCGGAAUAACUCCGGGAAACUGGAGCUAAUACCGGAUGGUUCCUACGGGAUAAAGAUUUAUCGCCAAAAAGAUGAGUCCGCGUACGAUUAGCUAGUUGGUGAGGUAAUGGCUCACCAAGGCGACGAUCGUUAGCUGGUCUGAGAGGACGAUCAGCCACACUGGGACUGAGACACGGCCCAGACUCCUACGGGAGGCAGCAGUGGGGAAUAUUGGACAAUGGGGGCAACCCUGAUCCAGCCAUGCCGCGUGAGUGGUGAAGGCCUUCGGGUUGUAAAGCUCUUUUGGCGGGGACGAUGAUGACGGUACCCGCAGAAUAAGCCCCGGCUAACUUCGUGCCAGCAGCCGCGGUAAU